rnacentral:rRNA from 1 species
UUACGGCAGCUACACAUGCAGUCGAACGGCAGCACAGGAGAGCUUGCUCUCUGGGUGGCGAGUGGCGGACGGGUGAGGAAUACAUCGGAAUCUACUUUUUCGUGGGGGAUAACGUGGGAAACUUACGCUAAUACCGCAUACGACCUACGGGUGAAAGCGGGGAUCUUCGGACCUUGCGCGAUUGAAUGAGCCGAUGUCGGAUUAGCUAGUUGCGGGGUAAGGGCCCACCAAGGCGCCGAUCCGUAGCUAGUCUGAGAGGGUGAUCACCCAUUCUGGGACUGAGACACGAUCAUUACUCCUAGGGGCGGCUGCAGUGGGGAAUAUUGGGCAAUGGGGGCAGCCUGAUCCAACUAGACCCCGCCGGUGAAGAGGGCCUUAGGGUUGUAAAUCCCUUUUAUUGGUUAAGAAAUCCCUGUUUAAUAACCGGUUGGAAUGACGGCAUUUAAAGAAUAAUGCGCAUUUAUCGC